rnacentral:rRNA from 1 species
GGGAGCAAGCGUUGUUCGGAUUUACUGGGCGUAAAGGGCGCGUAGGCGGCCACCGCAAGUCAGUUGUGAAAUCUCUGGGCUUAACCCAGAAAGGUCAACUGAUACUGCGGGGCUAGAGUGCAGAAGGGGCAACUGGAAUUCUCGGUGUAGCGGUGAAAUGCGUAGAUAUCGAGAGGAACACCUGCGGCGAAGGCGGCGCACUGGACCACAUCUGACGCUGAGGCGCGAAAGCUAGGGGAGCAAACAGG